AAUCCUCUGAUCUCAUAUUUGUUGUAAGAGACAACUUUCUGAAACAUCCCCAAACAAAUUGAAAUCAUGAGAGAAGAAGAAACUAAUUGGCCCAUUCUGGGAUACAUCUUAUCUACUGACCAGAGGAGAGCACGGCAUAUUCUCUGCAAUACAUAAAUGGAGCUGUAUUUAUCAAAAUUAGAGGAUAUUCAUGCUGGAAAGGGAGAAGUAACAGUUGACAGGACCCUGAAGAUUUUCCUUUCGGUCAAUCAGUCAUCCUCCAUCAGUCCAUAUGAUUCCAAUAGAGUUGACUUCACCCCCGAUGUCCCCUCCAUUUACUCCUCAUUUUUGCUGUGAGGGAUUGUAGUUCUGUAAAAGAUCCCAGAUGAGAGCUCUGAGGAGUUGGCUUUAGUGUCCAGCACCAGGUAGGGAAAGCUUUGCAUCUUUGGAGCACAAAUAGGACAGAAACAGUGAAAGAUCACAUACAAUGGAGCCAGGGAAAAGCAGGACCUGGACAUGGAGUAAGCUAGUUUCAGGUGCUGAACAGAGGGCUGCAUUUAGGAGGCUGACUGCUUCCCAUAAACCCCAACAAAAGAAAAGGUGAAGCCACCUGGGUCUCUGGGAAGUCAUUCAUUGGAGAGAAAAUUUUAGCAUCUCUUCCAGCAGAUGAGCAGUACUUAGAGUCAAAGACCAGUCUUGGAGCAAAGAGAGGUUCAGGAAGGGGGAGAUCAGUGAUAACAUUUGAGUAAAAAUGAAGAGUUUAAUUUCAGUUCAACAGCCGAGAUUCUGGUGGGAACGAGAGACAUAAACGUACAGUACUAUUAAGCAAAUGGAAUGACAUGGAUGAACACAUUGGGUGGUGGUGUGCUGGCGAGACUGUUCAGGGACAACUUCCUGGUGGAAAUAAGAUCUGAGCCAUCUUAAAAGAAAUAUAAGAGUUAUGGGAGAGAAGUUCAUUGCAAGCCUGAGGUACAACAUGAGCAAGGAGCAAAGGUAGCAGAGUGACAAUAAGUGGGCAUGUUUGCGAGAAUCACCAGGUGUGUCUGUCAGAUCAGAAGCUGUUCAGAGCCUAAGCCCAAGGAAAGGAGAAGAUAGUAAGUGAGCUGGAGAAGGAAGCAGUGCCCACAUCAUGAAAGGCCUUUGGUAUCUUGAGACAGAAUUUGGUCAUUUUCCUGUAGAUCAGAGCUCACAAGUUGGUAAACCAUGAGCUAGGCAUGACCCUCAUAUAUUUUAUUUAUUUAUACAGU